GAAACAAAUGUAAAAUGCGGAAUGACCAAGAGGGAUAUUCCCCAAUUUUAAAAGAAAACAUGUGGAUCCCUGUGUGUGGGUCGGGUCGCGUAAAACGGCGCUGUUUUGGCGCUAAAACCCCCCAGGUGAAACGACGUCGUUCAAUCGUGUUACAAAAGCCAAAAAAAUAUUUAGAAUUUUUCAUUUCUCCCUUCUUGAAAACAAAAAAAAAAAAAACAAAAAAACUCUCUACCCCCCCAUUUCUUCUCCGGGCACCGGCCUAAAAUCCGGCGAAGGGGCCACCGUGUCGGCCACCAGUCACCUGCGACGGCGCCGCCGUAUGCGGUGGCCGAAAAAGAGGAAAACCUCUGACCCGGUCUUUUUAAAAUCCCUAAACCCGAAUCUUGGUCCAAAAUCCCCAAAAUAUUAAC
rnacentral:lncRNA from 1 species